UUAACCGUGCACCCUUUCUUUUUAUUAUUGUUUUUUUUCUCUUUGCAGUUCAAUAUUGCCAACCUCACUACGGGAUGCCAGAAGAAGCUAGAAAUCGACGAUGACCAGAAACUCAAGGGGCAUGCAAAUGUGGAACCUCUUUUCAACAGCUUGGCCUUGCAGCAAUACAUUCUUUUAUGCUCACAGGUGUGAUGUGAACCUCUUGUUGGCGACAUUAUGUACUCAUACCAUUCAAACCCGUGAAGGAAGUAUAGUUAAAGCUCUAGAUUGUAAUGCUGCUGUGGCUAGUCGGGAUGUAUUGGAAAAGACAGUUUAUGCUCGAUUCUUUGAUUGGUAUGCUUAUGUUAAUUCAUGUUUGGAGGCAUUUAUUUUAUCAUAUGCUCAUAUUUUGUAUUACUUGCCUUGCCUGCAUGGGGUCAAGAUUAAACUGUUUCUGUUCUAAAAAUUUUCUAUCUAUUUUGUAAGGCUUGUUGAUAAGAUUAAUAUAUCAGUGGGGCAAGAUCCAAAUUCCCAUGUGCAAAUUGGAGUUUUGGACAUCUAUGUAUUUGAAUGCUUUAAGCAUAAUAGAUUAUGACCCCCUCUCUCACAAGCAUGCUUGUUGGGAAAUAUGUUCCAGUAGAUGUUGCUGCACUGCUAAACUCAACACUCCAGAUGGGGGUUGGAGAAUACGAUCAAAGGGAAAACAUCAGAUAUGGUGAUUCCCAGCCAAGCAGUGGCUUCUUAGACACCCAACAUUUUGCACAACCAAGCAUGACCAAAACUUCUAAACCCACAUGUUGAGGAUUCACACUCAAGGAGCAAGAAACAUCUCAGCAACUCAUUGGGAUCGAGAAGUCAAAAUUCAGAAUCAAGUGACCCACAAGAGCUAGAUUUGGAGCUUAGACUGUCACUAUAAUCAGUAAUUUUUUUUGCUACUUUAAAUGCAUGCUCAUGGAACUACAUUUUAUGCUUUCCUAGAAUUGUAAGUUCAAAUAAGGUGUUGAUCUGCAAUUUAUACAUACAACUUGAGCAAGUUGAUAUGAA